rnacentral:rRNA from 1 species
UACGUAGGGUGCGAGCGUUGUCCGGAAUUAUUGGGCGUAAAGAGCUCGUAGGCGGUCUGUCGCGUCGAUCGUGAAAACUUGGGGCUUAACCCUGAGCUUGCGGUCGAUACGGGCAUGACUGGAGUUCGGCAGGGGAGACUGGAAUUCCUGGUGUAGCGGUGAAAUGCGCAGAUAUCUGGAGGAACACCGGUGGCGAAGGCGGCAUCCUGGACCGAUACUGACGCUGAGGAGCGAAAGCCAGGGGAGCAAACGGG